UACGAAGGGGGCGAGCGUUGUUCGGAAUUACUGGGCGUAAAGGGCGCGUAGGCGGCGACUCAAGUUAGAUGUGAAAGUCCUGGGCUUAACCUGGGGACUGCAUUUGAUACUGGUAGGCUUGAGUGCAGGAGAGGAACGCGGAAUUCCAGGUGUAGCGGUGAAAUGCGUAGAUAUCUGGAGGAACACCGGUGGCGAAGGCGGCGUUCUGGACUGUAACUGACACUGAUGAACGAAAGCCAGGGGAGCAAACGGG
rnacentral:rRNA from 1 species